GUACACGCUGUGACUAGCAUAUCAAUAAGCGGAGGAAAAGAAACUAACAAGGAUUCCCCUAGUAACGGCGAGUGAAGCGGGAAGAGCUCAAAUUUGAAAUCUUAAAGGGUUUCCCUUUACGAAUUGUAGUUUAAAGAAGUGUUUUCUGUUGAGGUUUUGGUAAAAGUUCUUUGGAAUAGGACAUCAUAGAGGGUGAGAAUCCCGUAUUUGACCUUUACUUUCAACUUUGUGAUACACUUUCAAAGAGUCGGAUUGUUUGGGAAUGCAGUCCAAAAUGGGUGGUAAAUUUCAUCUAAAGCUAAAUAUUGGCGAGAGACCGAUAGCGAACAAGUACCGUGAGGGAAAGAUGAAAAGAACUUUGAAAAGAGAGUUAAACAGUACGUGAAAUUGUCAAAAGGGAAGCGUUUGACACCAGUGUUGUUUUUCUGAAAAUCAAUUAAAGAACUGUUUAUGCUAAGUUGUUUAGACUUUAUCAGCUAACUGUUUAGUUUUGAGCUUUUCUUUAAUGCACUUUUCAGUUAACAAGUCAACAUCAAUCUCUUUUGCUGUAAAAAAGCUUGAGGAAGGUGGCUUGAGAUUCGUCUUAAGUGUUUAUAGCCUCUUGCCUAUGCAGUCGGAGAGAUUGAGGUCUGCAGCGUAGAUCCUUCGGGGCUAAAUGCAUUUGUGCUAAGUUAUAGCAUUUUAUAGACAACUUGUUGACUAUGAUUUGUCUUGUAGCUUACUCGCUUAUGUUAUUUUACCUACGCUUAGGAUGUUGACGCGCGUGUGUGCGUG
rnacentral:rRNA from 1 species